rnacentral:rRNA from 1 species
UGGGGAAUAUUGGACAAUGGACCAAGAGUCUGAUCCAGCAAUUCUGUGUGCACGAUGACGUUUUUCGGAAUGUAAAGUGCUUUCAGUUGGGAAGAAAAAAAUGACGGUACCAACAGAAGAAGUGACGGCUAAAUACGUGCCAGCAGCCGUGGUAAUACGUAUGUCACAAGCGUUAUCCGGAUUUAUUGGGCGUAAAGCGCGUCUAGGUGGUUAUGUAAGUCUGAUGUGAAAAUGCAGGGCUCAACUCUGUAUUGCGUUGGAAACUGUGUAACUAGAGUACUGGAGAGGUAAGCGGAACUACAAGUGUAGAGGUGAAAUUCGUAGAUAUUUGUAGGAAUGCCGAUGGGGAAGCCAGCUUACUGGACAGAUACUGACGCUGAAGCGCGAAAGCGUGGGUAGCAAACAGGAUUAGAUACCCUGGUAGUCCACGCCGUAAACGAUGAUUACUAGGUGUUGGGGGUCGAACCUCAGCGCCCAAGCAAACGCGAUAAGUAAUCCGCCUGGGGAGUACGUACGCAAGUAUG